UUCUUUUUGUAGUUCAUAAGCAUAAUGACUGGGGUGUCCACGCACAUGUGUAAGAUGUGCCUCUCUCAAACCUUGUUACAAAGUCAACACAUUACCCAUCUGACA